rnacentral:snRNA from 1 species
AUUAAAUUUAUUUUUUAUGGGGGAGGAUCCACCACAGUGGCUUGCUGCUGGGCUCCUCACGCGUUCCCUGGACGUUGCACUGCUGUCCAGGUGUGGCGCACCCCAA